rnacentral:lncRNA from 1 species
UGACUUUUUGAUAUCGGGGUCAGAAUCCGAUUCUGAAAAUUGGAAUACCUCUGUUAUGUCAUUUAGGACUUGUGUGCAAAAUUUGAGGUCAAUCGGACGUGAUUUGAUAGGUUCCAGAGUUGUUUGUAGAAAUUAAAAAUUUCAAAGUUCAUUAGGCUUGAAUUGGGGUGUAAUUCAUGGUUUUAGCGGUGUUUGAGGUGAUUUGAGGAUUCGACUAAGUUCGUAUGAUAUUUUAGGACUUGUUGGUAUAUUUGGUUGAGGUCUUGAGGGCCUCGGGUGAGUUUCGGAUGGUUAACAGAUCAAAAAAUUGAACUAAAACAGCUGCUGCAAUUUCCUUCUGUUGGAAAAUUUUUCUGUCAGAAUCGAGCCCAGGAAUCGAGCCCAGAAAUCGAGGGCCACGAUCGAAGCCCAGAUCGAGCCCAGGGUCGAGGGCCACGAUCGAAGCCAUGAUCGAGCCCAGAGUCGAGGGCCACGAUCGAAGCCAUGAUCGAGCCCAGGGUCGAGGGCACGGUCGAAGGCCGAGUCGAAGAUAUGAUCGAAGGCCUAGGAUCGAGAACCAUGAUCGAAGGCCUAGGAUCGAGGACCAGGAUCGAGGACCUCGAUCGAAAGCAGAACCGAGGUUGUCUGGGCAGAAUUAUAAAAACAGAGACUUCGUCCCAUUUGCCAUUUGUUUUGACAAAUUGGAGCUUGAGGAGAGGCAAUUUUUGAUAUAAUUUCAAGGAAAACUUGAGUUAAGUCCCUUGUGAUCAUUUCUACUCCAUAAUAUUGAAUUAUCAUCGAAUAAUCCGACUAGAUUACAUGAUUUUGAGGUGUAAAUCGGAGAUUGGAACUUAGAAAUUUAGAAAUAAGAUUUGUAGAUUUGAGGGUCGAGUUGAGGUCGGAUUUUGGUAGAAUUGGUAUGGGUAGACUCGCGGUUGAAUGGGAUUUCGGAUUUUGUAACUUUUGUCGGGUUCCGAGACGUGGGCCCCAUAGGCGAUUUUUGAGCCAAUUUAGGGUUUUUGUCUAAUUUUGAAGCUUUUCUUGUGGAAUUCAUUCCAUUAGCGUAUAUUGAUGGUAUUAUACUGAUUGUGAAUAGAUUUGGAGCAUUUGGAGGCAGAGUCCAGAGGCAAGAGCAUUGCGGGGUAGAGAUUUUACCGGUUUGAGGUAAGUAACGAUUGUAAAUCUAGUCCUGAGGGUAUGAAACCCCGGAUUUCGUAUCAUUCUAUUAUUUUGAAGUGACGCACAUGCUAGGUGACGGGCGUGUGGGCGUGCACUGUUGGGGAUUUGUGACUUGGUCUGUUCCGUAGCAACUGUAAAGUUGCAUACUUUGUUUAAACCAUUUGAUACUUAUAUGUUUUAGAAAGAAUUUCUGUAAAUUGGGCCGAAUGCCAUGUUUGGGCCUUGCGCCAAUGCUGUUUGGAUCCUUAGGGGCUGUUUCUUAUCAUCCUCUCAUUGUUUUCGAUUGAAAAUCUAUACUCAGUCAUGUUUAUAUUUAUUUACCGCAUAACUCAGCUUUAUGACUCUAUUUCGAUGCAUAUAAAUAUUUUGGGCCGAAUGCCCUGUUUUACUGAAAUGCCGAGGGCCUGAUUUGUGAGGACGAGUGUGGAUCGGGGCUGCCCGCCUGCAGCAUACUCUAUUAUUAUCGCACGUGAGUUGUAGCGCUUGGGCUGAAGGAGCCCCUCCGGAGUCUGUACACACCCCCAGUGAACGCAGGUACCUACUAAGUACGAGUGCUGAGUGGCUGGGAGGCAUGAGUGAUUGUGAGGUAUGCCCGAAUGGCAAGAGUGAUUGUGAGGUAUGCCCGAGUGGCAAGAGUGAUUAUGAGGUAUGCCCGAGUAGCACGAGUGACUGUGAGGUUUGCCCGAGGGGC